rnacentral:ribozyme from 13 species
UUUUCUCUCUUUCUCUUUCUCUUUUUUUUUGCUCUCUCCUUCUUUACUCUUUGUUUUGUCUCCUCUCUUCAGGAGAGUAAGAAAGAAGAAGAAGUAUUCAAGAGAGAAAAA